rnacentral:snRNA from 1 species
GUGCUCGCUUCGACAGUACAUAUACUAAAAUUGGAACGAUACAGAGAUUAGCCUGGCCCCUGAGCAAGGAUGACAGGCAAAUUUGUGAAGUAUUCUAUAUUUCA